rnacentral:lncRNA from 1 species
AUGACCUCACUUCCUUGGCGACCGACCCCAACAGAGCUUAGAACUCUGGUCACCAGGCAGCCAUUUUGUACACAUAGCCCAUUUGACCAGAGACACUCGACACAGGAGGAUGUGUUCUGUAUCCCCUCUUUGCGAGGCUCUGGCGCACAGAGAGCCAACAAUGACAGUCUUCUCCAGCGCUGUCGACACUGGCUGAGACCGCACCUCCAAGACCUCAGGCCAUUCGGAAGAAGGAACCCUCAGAGCUCCACCCAGGAGAUGGUCCAGGAGCUGGCGCAUGGGUCCUACGGCUCCAUCUCCCUGGACAGGGGGCAAGUGCAGCAGACCACCGACCUUGCCCGGGGCUGGACUGAGGGGAGAGUGAGUGACACCCGGGGCCCUGAGAUCACCGGGGUGUGUCCACAACUCUUAGAGUCAAAUCUGGAGCCCUCCCCUGGACCCGCCCAGGGCUUUCCCACUGGAGUGUCCCAAGGGCCCAGUCCCAAAGGAAUCUGGACUUCCACGCCUCCUCACCAGCUACCUAGGAGGGUGGGAAGUCGCUCUUUCCUAACCCUAGGCGGAGUAGACAAAACACUGAUGUUUGCGCUUCACACUCGGCCAGGGGCAUCUUUGAAAUCUGCCAUUUUCUGAAUCUGAAACCUCUGUAACGAGGGUCUCAAACCUCCCUUUCGUGUAAAAGAAAGAAAAACCAGCGUCCUUUCUUGUAGUCAGCCAGAUCCUCACAGCGUCUGUCUGCCCGUGCACUGUCUCCCGACUGGGGAGGGCUGAGGUUCCCACCAGACAUUUCCCUUCAUGUCAGGAGCACAUGAAGCCUCAGGUGGGGGAGCGGGGGAGUCCUGCAGCCCUGGCUUAGGGCGGUUCUCAGUUCCGACCCACAGGACCCUGAGCAGCCACUUGGCAGCCCGAAGCUUCCGUCCUCUCAUCUCUAGAAUGGGGAUGUUUGUGUUGGAUUCGCUGGUCAGUGCUCUUAAUGCACGCCUUGGUGCGGGGCGGUCUGUCCUUGCCAAGCCAGCCAAGUGUCCUGAGGAACUCAUCGUAUAAUCCUCCCCCCGCCCAAACUCAAAUUGGACUUUUCAAGCCUGGAAACCGGUUGGCUGUGGGCAAUCCUGUCCCUCCUCUGCACACAUCCCUGAGGGGCUCACAGUUCCUGGGGGACCUCCAGACCUUGACUUCCUGGAGGUUCACGCUGGUGCUGGUGACUCUGUGUCCUUCCUCAUCUCACCCAGCGCGGAGAGUCACUCGGGCAGCGGAAUGAGGCCUGCAGGAUGCGGGCCCUCCAGGCAGGCCUGCUGGAGAGGCUGCCGCCGUCCAUAGGACCAGCCUUGGCGCCUCGAAACAUGGCCAACGUCACCACCAUCGUGUUUGACUGCGCGGCUGUCCUCACCUCCCACGGGGUCCUGGACCACCUACUUGCUACGUGAGUGCCCAGCCCCUCCUCAGCACAGUGGUGACUCUGCCCACUGCCAGCUGUGUGUCUUGGAAACGGCCCUCCAUCUCUCUGAGCUUCGAUUGCUCCUCUGCAAAGUGUAGUGAGAGAGGAUAAACUUCAUCGGGUUCUGGUGGGCACGAAUGGGAUGAGCCACGGCAGGUGCUUCCCUGGGGCCUGGCUCUACAGAAGGGGCUGAGAGAC